rnacentral:rRNA from 1 species
GACGAACGCUGGCGGCGUGCCUAAUACAUGCAAGUCGAGCGGACUUGAUGAGAAGCUUGCUUCUCUGAUGGUUAGCGGCGGACGGGUGAGUAACACGUAGGCAACCUGCCUGUAAGACUGGGAUAACUACCGGAAACGGUAGCUAAUACCGGAUAGCUGGUUUUCUCGCAUGAGAGAAUCAUGAAAGACGGAGCAAUCUGUCGCUUAUGGAUGGGCCUGCGGCGCAUUAGCUAGUUGGUGAGGUAAUGGCUCACCAAGGCGACGAUGUGUAGCCGACCUGAGAGGGUGAACGGCCACACUGGGACUGAGACACGGCCCAGACUCCUACGGGAGGCAGCAGUAGGGAAUCUUCCGCAAUGGACGAAAGUCUGACGGAGCAACGCCGCGUGAGUGAUGAAGGUUUUCGGAUCGUAAAGCUCUGUUGCCAGGGAAGAACGUCUUAGAGAGUAACUGCUCUAAGAGUGACGGUACCUGAGAAGAAAGCCCCGGCUAACUACGUGCCAGCCGCCGCGGUAAGAC